rnacentral:rRNA from 1 species
UAACGGCCCACCAAGGCGAAGAUCGGUAGCCGGCCUGAGAGGGCACACGGCCACACUGGCACUGAAACACGGGCCACACCCCUACGGGAGGCAGCAGUGGGGAAUCUUGCACAAUGGGGGCAACCCUGAUGCAGCGACGCCUCGUGAACGAUGAAGCCCUUCGGGGUGUAAAGUUCUUUCGGCAGGGAAGAAACAUGACGGUACCUGCAGAAGCAGCUGCGGCUAACUACGUGCCAGCAGCCGCGGUAAUACGUAGGCAACGAGCGUUGUUCGGAGUUACUGGGCGUAAAGGGUGUGUAGGCGGUCCUCUAAGUUUGGUGUGAAAUCUCCCGGCUUAACCGGGAGGGUGCGCCGAAAACUGGAGGACUAGAGUGCGGGAGGGGAGAGUGGAAUUCCUGGUGUAGCGGUGAAAUG